CCUACGGGAGGCUGCAGUGAGGAAUAUUGGUCAAUGGCCGGAAGGCUGAACCAGCCAAGCCGCGUGAAGGACGAAGGUGCCAAGCAUUGUAAACUUCUUUUGUCAAGGGACAAAAUCAGGCUCGAGAGCCUGAACGAGGGUACUUGAAGAAAAAGCAUCGGCUAACUCCGUGCCAGCAGCCGCGGUAAUAGGGAGGAGGCGAGGGAUAUCCGGGUUGAUUGGGUUAAAAGGGUGCGUAGGCGGGUUGUUAAGUCAGCGGUAAAAGCCCGGCGCUGAACCCCGGCGAGCCGUUGAAACUGGCUGUCUUGAGAGGUCGAGAGGGAUGCGGAAUG
rnacentral:rRNA from 1 species